AGCGAACGCUGGCGGCAGGCUUAACACAUGCAAGUCGAGCGGGCACUUUCGGGUGUCAGCGGCGGACGGGUGAGUAACGCGUGGGAACGUGCCCUCUGGUUCGGAAUAACUCAGGGAAACUUGAGCUAAUACCGGAUACGCCCUUUUGGGGAAAGGCUUGCUGCCGGAGGAUCGGCCCGCGUCUGAUUAGCUAGUUGGUGAGGUAACGGCUCACCAAGGCGACGAUCAGUAGCUGGUCUGAGAGGAUGAUCAGCCACACUGGGACUGAGACACGGCCCAGACUCCUACGGGAGGCAGCAGUGGGGAAUAUUGGACAAUGGGCGCAAGCCUGAUCCAGCCAUGCCGCGUGAGUGAUGAAGGCCGUAGGGUUGUAAAGCUCUUUUAUCCGGGACGAUAAUGACGGUACCGGAGGAAUAAGCCCCGGCUAACUUCGUG
rnacentral:rRNA from 1 species